AAAUUUGAAAUUUAAACUUUUUGAAAUUUGAAAUUUGAACUUUUUGAAAUUUGAAAUUUAAAAUCAAAAUUAAAAUUAAAUUUUAAAAUUUUAAAAUUUUUAUAUUGAAAUUUAAAAUUUAGAAAUUGAUACAUCUUUAGGAGCCCAAAAUGGUGGAAUUUUUUUCAUUUGGUUAAAGUGGAUUAUAAGUUUAUUCCAUUUUUUGGAGUAUAGUAUAACUAUACUCUAAAAAUUACGCCAUUUUUUUUUCUUCCAAACGUUUCAUAGGAUUAUUUUCCUACCGGCGUAGUAUAGUUUAACUAUGCUACGUUUUUAGAGGUAUCCAAACGGGCCUAAUUGUGUAGUAGGAUAAUUAGUUUUAUUCAUAUUGUAAUUAAUAAUUAGUUUAACUUUUCAAAUUACAAACACUACUCCUAACAAGAUGUUAACACGCACAAGCUACUGUAUUCUGAAAUUAAAUUUGAAGAAUAUGCUACAUUACUAUUAAACUAUGUUCAUGAUAUAAAAAUAGUAAUGUUUAUUUUUCAUUCAUAGAUUAAUAUGAUAAUAUAGGAUCAAAUUCAAUUACUAAGGGCCUGUUUGUUUCAACGUAAGUAAAAUUUAGAUUGAAGUAGAUUUUAGGUUGAACGAAAGUUCAGGUGAUAAUUACUUCACCUCCACUGUUUAUUCUUAUAACUGCGAAAGUGAAAAGUUAUGUUAAUUCAGCUAUUUGUUUGGCGGAAAGUGAAUAGCGUAAAAAGAACAGCUCCAUACUUUCUCUAUUUGUUUUACCGAAAAUUGUUAAAUCCCCACACGAGUGUAAACUUACCUCGAUCCUACAUUAUAUUAUUGCAUAUUAUAUAACUUAAUAAAUAAUAAAUUAUAAUAUAAUAAAUAAAAAUAAUAAAAAUAAAAUUUAAAAUAAUUAUAUUAAUUUUUCUGGAUAUAAAUUAUAAUAAUGCAUUAAUAAAAUAUUAAAAUUAAAUAAAUAUUAACAUUCAACAAAUUAUUUUUUAUCAUAUUUUAAAUGCGCAAAUUAAACGGUAAGUAUUUGGCAUGCCCUUUUAAUUUAUUUAGGAAGUUUGUAAUAUUUGGAAGGUAAGGAAUUUGAUCAGAUAUUUAGAACAAAAUACUAUAUUCAAUCUUCUGGUUAUUAUUUUGGGAAUA
rnacentral:lncRNA from 1 species